CGCCAUGAAGGUGUCAGGCACACUUCGGGGUACCAGGCAGGGCGCUGCUUGCCCACCCUGAAGUGCCGCACAGAGCCACUGUACUGAAUGAGCAUCUUUGCAUCCAACCACGCGGUGGCCAGGCCUCAUUUCCAGUACCUCGUGUCACGGGUGAAGAAGUCAGUCUUCCAGGGAGACAGUGUACUGCAGGCAGUGUCUGAGAAGUAGCACUGCACGUGAAGACCUUUGGCAUCUGGCCGUGCUAGGACCCCCACUCUGGCACACACAACAUGCACUGGGAGCAAGGGAACCUAACAAUCACUGGCGGGGUCACACCAUGUUCACACAUAUGUGAAACCAUGUUCCGUGCCCACGAGCACUCCUUCCAGAUCAUGAAGGUAAAAGAGGGUGUAGCCAGCUGGGCAUCAAGCAGUUUCAUGGCUUCAAGUUACCAUAGCCCCACCAAGUGCUUCCAUGACAGCAAAAGCCUUGCUGCACUACCAAGAGGCCCAACAACUUC
rnacentral:lncRNA from 1 species